GGAAGUAAAAUCGUAACAAGGUCUCCAUUGGUGAACCAGCGGAGGGAUCAUUACCGAGUUAUCAACUCCCAAACCCCGGUGAACAUACCCAACGUUGCUUCGGCGGGACCGCCCCGGCGCCCUCGGCGUCCCGGAACCAGGCGCCCGCCGGAGGACCCAAACUCUUGUUUAAACCAUAGUGGCAUAUUCUGAGUCUCACAAGAAAAAUGAAUCAAAACUUUCAACAACGGAUCUCUUGGCUCUG
rnacentral:misc_RNA from 1 species